CACAAAAUAGCUUAUACAAAGCGCAAGUCUUUUAAACCUGAGAAAGUAAAUUACUUUUUGUG
rnacentral:tRNA from 2 species